UUGGGUUUACUCUAGUUUUAGGAUUAAAAAGCAAAAAUACUAACAUGCAAAUAAUUAAAAUCCUAACUGAAAACACUAGGGACUUAACGGAACGUAGUUAUAUAGCAGUAGUAAGGUUGUGUUGUUGCAAGCGGUGAAAGUAGUACUUCAUCUCCCUUACUUUUGCUUUUUUAUUCUCCAACGAUUUUUUUCUGAGUGUUUUACAAGCACAGUGGCUGCACUAAUCUUCUCAUAGUAACCUGUUAAAUUUAAGGCAUUUUUUACAUGUGUUAACCUUGAUAUAAUUUCUUUAUAUUUUGAAGUUGCACCCAUAUCCUGUUCAACCAGUCUCAUUGUUUGUGGUGGGAAGCCUAAUAAAGUGACCGAAGCAGUGAUCAAAUGAAUGCCUGUCCCAAGACAGUAUCUACAGUCGACAUCCUGGUGAAUAACAAUCUAUAGCUGCUAUUCAGAAGACUAAAGGGAGAAGAGUGAAAUUUUGCAAAAAGAUCAGAGUCACAGAAUGGCCAAGGUUGGAAGGGACCUCUGAAGAUCAUCUGGUACAAACCCCGGCCAAGCAGGAUUGCCUAGAGCACAUUGCACAUGUUGGCAUCCUGGUGGGUUAUGAAUAUCUCCAGAGAAGAAGACUGCACAAGCUCUCUGGGCAACCUGUUUCAGAUGCAGAGUAUAUGGAGUAAAAACUGUCAUGCUAGCUUGAGGAUCAAACAAAAUGAGAUUAUCUAGUACUUUAAACAGAUUGCAACAUUGGUCCUUGCUUUUCUUGAAGUGGAAGUUCCAGAAGAGCCCAUCCUAAUAUACCGGCUAAGGUGAAAUAGAUAUCACCUCACAGUUGACCUUAAUGGAGGGCCACAUUGUUUUUUGGGGUUGAUUUCUGAAUGUGAUUUCUGUUAAAUGGAAGUACUCUGUAAUGCUGGCACAGAUGAUGUUCUGUAGUUUAAUGGCAAGAUAGUCAGCAGAAAAAAAGUAAUUUUAAAUUAAGGUAGAAAGGUAUUCAUUCUGCCAAAAGUAUAGGUGUGUAAUCACUGAGAAGUUGGUCACUUUGAGAACAGUCACAAAAGUUAGAAUAAGUGUGCAGAGAAAUGAGGUGAAUGAUUUGUGGAAUGACGUAGAACAUGAUACAUUCUUUCAAUACUUGGAAGUGAAACUUCAAAAUUAUGCUUAGUGAGAAGUGUGGUUAAACAUCACCGAUACUGGUACUUUGUCUUUCAAAACAUGUUUGAUUUUCAUAAAAUUUAUUGAUCUAAGUGGCAUACUAUAAAAAAUUAAGCAAAUUGUAAUGAUAUAAUUUUUCUUUUAUUGUUUGUGUGAAAUUCUGUAAAGUGGUUUGAGUGUAUGCUAGAUGCAUUGUAAUAGAGAGUCUCGAUUUCUUUCCUGCCUCUUACCUGAGGAACAAGUUUGGCCAAAUACUUAGUUUUUCUUUGAUUUGAUUUAGUUUUUAUUCUUUGAUAACUAAAAUUUUAUCACAAAAACGAUUUCCAACGUCCCUAUAUGGCAAAAGAGAAAAGCAGGGAACUUUUUUACUCUUUGCAUCAGUUGUUAGAAUGUGACACCUUAAAUUUGUCAGCUUGGGAAUACUGUAAAUCUUCCUACAGUCCUAUCCACAUGUGCAUUGUAAAUGAUCCAAAUGUAUUUUCUGUGUGUUUUCCUGAAAUGACCACACAGUAAUAGUGUUAUUUCUUUUCAUUUUUCAUUAAAUUUAAUUUUGAAGUCAGACUGUUGUAACAUAUUGAUUGAUUUAGUGCUGUUAUUUAUUGAAGAAGUGCUGUUCUCUUAACCUGAAAGUUUUGCAACAACUAAAUUAAAAGCAAGCUUUUUUUUCUUUUCUUAAUCUAAUGGUUUUGUAUCAGUACAUAUUCUCACUGCCACAAUCCUCCUCCUAAAGUUGAUGAAAUUAAAACUAACAUAUUACUCAAAUUGUUUAUUACAGCACCAACAAAGCUUUUGCACUGGUUUGAUCCUCAACUUCAGGUAAAGGUGCUAUAACUUAUGCUGUUGAUGAUAGAAUGGCAUAAUCAUGACACAUGAGGAAAUGAAG